AUUUCUCUCUUCUCUAAGACUUUUGUUCCCCUUUCCAACCUUGACAUAAACUCGGGGCUCAGGUUCUCCAGCUACCUGAAGCCUUCUCUACACUGCUACUUGAUUCAGUAUGAUCCAUUUCAUUUCAUAAAAUGUUGUAAAGGACCUUCUGUGCAUCAGGCAUUCUACCAGGCCCUUGGGAUUCCAAGACCAGUGAUUGAGGAGCAAGUGUGUGACACAGUGUCAAGCCAAACAGAGCCCUCUCCAGAACUUCCCCUCUGAAGUUAACUAGAGGAGGAUCUCCUCUACUUGAGAACUGCUAAACUUGAAGAAGGCAUGGUGGUGGUCUCAAAGAUAGCAGCCAUGUUCUCAGCUGCUGGAGCCUGGGUCCAGAGGAAAAGAGAAGAUCUUAUUCAUAGUGAAUUGGUUUACCUCUGCUCAGCUGACUGAAGGACUGGGACUUACUCAUAGCAGAAAACUGUCUGUGCCAAAGUCCUUCACUGGAAACAUUAGGUCAGUUAACAGAGAUGAAAGAUUAAAACUGAUGCAAUAACAAAACAAAGAAGCAGAUAUGCCAAACACCUAGAAAUAAAAGUUAAAAAAUAUUCUUUGAGAAAUCAGAUUGUUCAAAAGUGCCCACAAAUUCUUGGGAACUUAGAAGUCAGUUGCAUGCUAGAAAAGACCAGGAAGACACUAAGCUUCCCUUUUUUGACUGAGUUCCAGGCUCGAUGCAAGAAGGAAACAAAGGCUAAGGCAGAGCUGUGUGUGGCUGGCUAGACACUGAAGAGCCAUCUGCAAAGACCUAAAGAAGUUGUCCUCUUCUUUUCC